UUUAGCAAAUAUCAGAAUCACCUGGCGGUCUUGAUGAAACACAAGCUGCUGAGCUUUACUCCAGAAUUUCUGGUUCAGUAGGUCUGCAGUAGGACCUGAAAUUUUAUAUUUCUAACAAGUUUUCAGGAGCUGCUGAUGCCGCUAGUACAGGGCUCACAUUUUGAGAACCUCUGGUCUAGCAAGUUGCCACCAAGAAUGAAGAUUGGGCCAGAGAACAGGAGGAAAUUUGUUUUGCAACAGAAAACAUAAGAAAUUUUCCCUGCUUGGAAGAUACUCAUACAUACCAGAAACAAGUCAACAUUUUGAUUUCAAACAUCAAAAAAGGUGUCCAGAAAUCUCAAGAAUUUGAGACAUCCUAAGGAACUUUAAGUGCUGUGAGCCACAAGUAACAUCAAGAAAAGACAGGGAUGAAGAACCGCACUUACAAGCUAAGUAAGAUUAAACCCAGCAUGGAGAUAUAUGAAUUAAUAUGAACUCUGAGAAAGAAAUUGGUCAGCUAAAAAAUAUAUGGCUUUCCUGAAUAGACAAAAGAACAAAGAUUUUCCCUUUGGUGUAAGCUCAUCCUACACAUGUCAUUUGGACCAGACCAAGGCUGCUGUCAUGGAGGACCCACACCACAGCUUGGGAACCAUUCAUCUACCAGAGGGUCACAUGACUUCAAAUGACUCUUCUAGGGGCCACCUGCCAUGAUAGGGUACCAGCUCUUCCUCUGAAUUCCCAAUCCAUUUCUUGAGAACUACUGUUUCUAAUAAGGUAGACAAGCUGCAAAGUUUCAUAAAGUCUCAACAACGGCCAACAUGGAAAUUGGAAAAGUUAGAACAAAUAGACCAAGCCUGGGGAAAUUUACUGAACUCUGGGGCUCCCUUCCAAGUAUGGUGAUCGGUAACCCAAAUUAAACUCACUAAGGUGUCCUGAAAAAAAUGGGGUCAAUAAAAGAUAAUGUCAAUCUGGAACACACCCUCUGAAUUGGGACUAAACCCCAAGCCAAUGAAUGGAGAAUGAGCAACAAGUUAUAGCUCCAGGGGCCUGGUAAGAGUGAAGAAGGGAAAAGUCUACAGAAAAAGUAAUAGUUCAGGGAAGACUUUAUCUUAGCAGGAGCAGAAGAAGGGAUGAAGUUAAAUCCAUCCACUGGGACAGGCCAGGUUUGCUGGUGAUUAGAGGAGAAGCCUGCUGUUUAGCCAUUCUGCUUUGUAUAGAGUCUACUUACACAGCUUCAGACUUAGGAUUGGGUUGCCAAGAAGGUGGGGACAUGCAGACACCAAAAUGUGCUGCGUCUCUCUCUGUCUCUCUGUAUCCUCCUACCCACAUGAUGUCCACUGCCCUUUUUGCAGAACUGCAUUCUGGUUUGGCAAUAUCCCAUGUCUUGGACUUUUGCCAAUUGUCUCUUCUUUGCCUCAUUUAAAGCUUUCUCUCUCCCUUUUUUUUUUUUUUUUAGAUGGAGUCUCUGUUGCCAGGCUGGAGUGCAGUGACAUGAUCUCACUGCAACCUCCGCCUCCCAGGUGCAAGUGAUUCUCCUGCCUCAGCCUCCUGAGUAGCUGGGAUUACUGGAGUGCACCACCACACCCAGCUAAUUUUCGUAUUUUUAGUAGAGAUGGGGUUUCACAAUGUUGGCCAGGAUGGUCUCGAUCUCUUGACCUCGUGAUCCGCCCACCUCGGCUUCCCAAAGGCAUUCUCUCUUUAUUCCCCAAUAUAGUCCCUCAAGGUCUUGCCAAAGGCCUGGUUAGAAAGAUUAAAAAAGAAAAAAACACACACACAGAAAAGAAAUGAGUCUAAAGGCUGUUAUCCCUGUGGGUUAAUCCUCCUAGAUAACACUGACAUUUUAACAAAUGCUUUUAGUGCUAAAGAGGAAAUAUGUGGGAAAGUUUUUAGGCAUGGGCCAGGUGAAUGGAAUAGCCGUUUAUCAAAACAUUUAUUAGAUGUGUGUACUUCUAAAAUGAUGCCAUGCAGAUUGUUGCCUAAUUUGUAGAUCUAGUUCGUGCAUCCUCCAUCUCUCUCUCUCUAUUUCUCUUUCUCUUUCUGUUUGUCCCUUUCUUUCUGUCUGUCUCUCUGCCUCUAUAGCUCUAUUGCCCUAACUAUCUCUUUUCAGUGAAAUAUACUUCUCCCCUGCCAUACAAAAGUAUUGUAUUACUGCAUAUUCUUCAGUAUUCCCAUAUAGAUUUUAUGAUAACAAUUCUCUGAAAUGUGUAGAUUUGCUCGAUUCUGUUAUACAGUCAGACGUGUGUAACUAUUUUAUGCAUGCGUAAAA
rnacentral:lncRNA from 10 species